AAUCUGGUUUGUCCCUCAGAAUAACGAUCAUAUUCAUUUAUUUUUGCAUAACUUAUUCAGCCCCACAGGUACUCAAAACCUUCUGCCAAAAUACAGUCUUUUUCCCACCACAGAAGAAUAAGGCGCAGCCUCAGAGCAUGCUUUUACAGCGCUCCCAGGUCCUCAAAAGGCCUCCGAGCAUUUCGGCGGGAGCCAGACACGUCGGGAUCCCUGGGGGAUCCUGAUCUCAAUUACGCAAACAACCUGGUGAAACGCACAGCUCGGGAUAAUCCAGGACCGUGUUGUCGCGGUAGAAGCCAACAGCCCGGUGAAGCCUGGGGAGCCGGCCGGCCUGCCUGUAGCCCGGGGAGCCCAACACGCACCUUCGCGCCGCGGGCCGGGUCAGGCACCGACCCCCUCCGGCACCCCCCGCAGGGCUGGGGACGGCGGGCUGUGGCGUGAGGCAACGCAAGCGCGGGGACGAGAGCAGGGGACAAAAAAGGAUGCCGGAGAGCAAACUUCCAGUAGUUCAUUAAUCUUGCUUUCCAUCCUUGCUGACUUCUGAACUGGUGCUCCUUCUUACCCACCCCUGCGUACAUGCUGGAGCAAGCUAUGUCUUCCCAACACCUUCAGCCCACCACCACGGUGCUCGUGCUGUCUGUCCAGCAGAAGAUCAGGAGCCAUCCCACUUGCAAUUCUGUUAAGAUUAUUAUUAAUAUUUUGCUUUCACAGCCUCACAGGUGAGAAGGAGCUUGUUUCUUCUCUUGGGUUACUCUGAUCAUUGUCUACCUUUGCAUUCCAUUAUAAGAAGUUCAAAUUUGGACUUGCGCCAUCCUUUUUGUAUGCUAUCUUUUGGGAAAAAUGCUAACAGCUUUGCAGUCCGCUGCAGGUAAAACUACAGCUUUUUACUUUCUUAAAAGUGAAAGUUUGUUAUAAUUCACAGUAUUUAUCUGUUAAAUGUACAACUGGUAGACUUCUGCCAUUCCUAUACUAGAAAUUAUUAAAGAAAGAAAAAGUUGCUUUUAGGGGAGGCCUGGGCAUAAUGAAGUAUGCUUAGUGAUACCUGAGGGGCUCUUAGCGACCAAGUAGGAAGACAUUUCAAUUCAUUUUUCAAUUACUUUUCAAGAAUGUAGUCGUUGAGACUUGUAGGUCACAAGUCAUAACAGAUGAAUACAGAGAACACCAUGGGUGUGUCUGCACCAGGAGCUUGGUGUCCAGCGUGGGCUAGUUUUAAGCUGCAUCCUGUUAGUGCACUUACAUUAGAACUGAUAGGACAACUGAUAGCUUAGGAAUCUGGUGUUAAGAGGCUCCUAUAAAUGAAUCAUCAAUUAAAGUCUGGGUAAAUACUAAAGCAAUUGAAAAUUAUCUUGUGUUAAAUGCUUUGUUUCUUACAUGAAGCCAGAUCUGUUUGCUUUUUGGUGGGUUAAGGAACACUCUUAGAAGAACUAUUGCUAUAAUUGACAGCAUGUCUGAAAGAACAGAAGAAACACCAGGUUUACAAAGUGACAGAAGCCAACUCCAGAAUAUGUCUACCUCGGCAGUGAUGCCUGUAUAUGAAGGCUGAGGUAUGCUGUAAAAAAUAAAUCCUGUUCACAGUGCUUUAAAAUAAACUUCAGAAAAAAUAGUGAAUUUGAUAAACAGUAUAUACAUAUUUGUACAAACCUACAUAAAGUAAAUAAAAAUAUUUUUGUAAAAUAUAUAUGAGAUUUUCAUAAUGGGCAAAAUUCCUAAAUACUUUCACAUUUCAAUUGCAUGUCAACAUUUCAUACAACUAUUGAGAACGAAAGUCUAAUGUUUCAUCUAAACUUUGGGAUUAAAUGCUACUGAUUUGUACCCACAAUCACUUUUCAAGAUUUGAAGAUUCUUCUUGCUCGGAGGUGGGCAAGAACCCCUUCUAAAGCCCACAUUCACUCUAAAGCUAGUGCAAUCUGAUUCAGUUACCACCACAUAACAGAUAAAGCUGCUGUUGCAUAAACAUCAUAGAACUGAGCUCUAUAGUUCUGAAGCUAUUUGGAUUACAGCUAGAAUCUCGGAUAAAUUUUGCUACAGAUGUAUGAGUACUGGUUUCUUCUACCUUUUGGACAAGUUGGGUUACCGUUACAGAAUUUUCUGCCUUUUUUAACCACAUUCUUUAUCAGACCACUAGAAUACAAGAGAUUUUUCUAACUACACCACAGAUAGAAGCUUAAUGAUUUGGAAAAGAUUAACAUGAACAAGAUACUAAAAAGUAAAUUCCUCUGGCAUUGUGCUGAAAAUCUUAAGCAGGAAAUGUUUGUUCUUCCCGUCAAGGUUGGACGACUGUAUUUUGUCAAGUUGUCUUUUUUGUAUUCUCUUCCAACAAUUUUACAGGGCUCUCUUCAGAAGUGUAAUGAAGUGUCAUGUCUUGCUAAUCACAAUAAAUAAGAAUAUGGAAAUGAAAAA